rnacentral:misc_RNA from 1 species
GAUGAAGAACGUAGCGAAAUGCGAUACGUAAUGUGAAUUGCAGAAUUCAGUGAAUCAUCGAGUCUUUGAACGCACAUUGCGCCCCUUGGUAUUCCUUGGGGCAUGCCUGUUCGAGCGUCACUACAAACCCGCUCAUACAUAUUAUAUGGUAUUGAUGGAAGUGGACCGUGGUUACUAAUAAUGUAUCUGGAUCACCCCAUUGAAAUGUAUAGGCAGGACAGUAAACCUCUGCAAUGGACUUAGUAACUGUUGUGAAAACAUAGACCAGUCCUUUGCCUGGUUCCAGCCUGGCCUCCAUGGACCUCUAUCCAAGAUGAACUCUGGGUUGACCUCGGAUCAGGUAGGGAUACCCGCUGAACUUAAGCAUAUCAAUAAGCGGAGGA